rnacentral:rRNA from 1 species
GAUGAACGCUGGCGGCGUGCCUAAUACAUGCAAGUCGAGCGAACGGACGAGAAGCUUGCUUUUCUGAUGUUAGCGGCGGACGGGUGAGUAACACGUGGAUAACCUACCUAUAAGACUGGGAUAACUUCGGGAAACCGGAGCUAAUACCGGAUCAUAUUUUGAACCGCAUGGUUCAUAAGUGAAAGACGGUCUUGCUGUCACUUAUAGAUGGAUCCGCGCUGCAUUAGCUAGUUGGUAAGGUAACGGCUUACCAAGGCAACGAUGCAUAGCCGACCUGAGAGGGUGAUCGGCCACACUGGAACUGAGACACGGUCCAGACUCCUACGGGAGGCAGCAGUAGGGAAUCUUCCGCAAUGGGCGAAAGCCUGACGGAGCAACGCCGCGUGAGUGAUGAAGGUCUUCGGAUCGUAAAACUCUGUUAUUAGGGAAGAACAUAUGUGUAAGUAACUGUGCACAUCUUGACGGUACCUAAUCAGAAAGCCACGGCUAACUACGUG